rnacentral:rRNA from 1 species
GUAGGUGGCAAGCGUUGUCCGGAAUUAUUGGGCGUAAAGCGCGCGCAGGCGGUUCUUUAAGUCUGAUGUGAAAGCCCACGGCUCAACCGUGGAGGGUCAUUGGAAACUGGAGAACUUGAGUACAGAAGAGGAAAGCGGAAUUCCACGUGUAGCGGUGAAAUGCGUAGAGAUGUGGAGGAACACCAGUGGCGAAGGCGGCUUUCUGGUCUGUAACUGACGCUGAGGCGCGAAAGCGUGGGGAGCAAACAGGGAUUAGAUACCCUGGUAGCCCACGCCGUAAACGAUGAGUGCUAAGUGUUAGGGGGUUUCCCGCCCCUUAGUGCUGCAGCUAACGCAUUAAGCACUCCGCCUGGGGAGUACGGCCCGCAAGGCUG